AUGGUGAAGCUGACAAUGAUAGCCCGUAUCACUGAUGGCCUUCCAUUGGCGGAGGGGUUAGAUGAUGGUCGAGAUCUGAAGGAUGCUGACUUCUACAAGCAGCAAGCAAAACUGUUGUUCAAAAACUUAUCUAAAGGCCAACACGAAUCAUCAAGGCUGUCAAUCGAGACUGGACCGUACUAUUUCCAUUACAUCAUUGAGAGCCGUGUAUGCUAUUUGACAAUGUGUGACCGUUCUUAUCCAAAGAAACUUGCAUUCCAGUAUUUAGAAGAUCUAAAAAAUGAAUUCGAGAGGGUCAAUGGUAGCCAAAUUGAAACUGCUGCAAGGCCAUAUGCUUUCAUCAAAUUUGAUACAUUCAUACAGAAAACCAGGAGACUGUAUUUGGAUACCAGAACCCAAAGGAACCUUGCCAAGUUGAAUGAUGAGCUCUACGAGGUGCACCAGAUUAUGACUCGCAAUGUUCAAGAAGUUCUUGGUGUGGGUGAAAAACUAGAUCAGGUUAGUCAAUUGUCUAGUAGGUUGACCUCUGAUACGAGAAUGUAUGCAGACAAGGCAAAGGAUCUCAAUCGCCAGGCCUUAAUUCGGAAGUAUGCCCCUGUGGCCAUUGUGAUGGGGAUAGUACUGAUGCUCUUUUGGAUCAAGAACAAGAUAUGGUGA
rnacentral:rRNA from 1 species